UCUUUUUCCAAAUCAAAAUAUUUAUUUAAAUCCAGAAAUAAAAUAAUUGCUGAAGUAGGACUCUUCAUAGAACAUAGCAUAUCACCAGUAAACAACAUCUUGAUUUUUCUAAUGGGGACGCUGAUGCCAGGAAAAUGCACUGAUUUGCCUAAACCAGCUUGUGUCACAAUCCCUGUGAUAGCUAUGCCCUGAAACAUCAUUUGCCUUUUCUCAUCAUUAGCAAUUCAGAUUCCCUCAUAUUUUUCAAACGCACUUUUUUUCAUUCAACAAAUAAUUUUGUAACGUCUUCCAUAAAAUUACUACUCUAGGCACUAGGGAUUCAGCCAAGGUUGAAAUGCAGUGAUGCUGGGAAAAUAAAAGCAAAAGUCACGGGCUGGCUAGGAGAUAAGCUUGUGGACAGAUAAUUAAAGUGCAAGCUGAUGAGCAGAAUCAAAACAUAGUGGAAGCAUAAAAAAGCAUGCCUCAAAGUCUGCCUGUGAAACCCAGGGAGAAUUUCCCAAAACAGGUGGCCCUUGAACUGACAUGAAGGAGGAACAGGAGUUUACAAAUAAUGAAAUGCGGAAGAACAUAGGAGGCAGAGGGAAUAGCAUAUGAAUGGGAUAUAAUACUUAAGCAGCUACAUAGUGUUUGCCCAAUUUCUUGACCUCUUGUUAAUAAUUGGCUCUGAUGACACACUUCCUUAUUGACAUCCUCCUUAUUUUUAGUUUCCAUGGCACUUGUUAAUAUCCUGUUCCUCUGCAUAGCUCCUGGUGUUCCUAAGGGUUCAGUCUUCAGCCUUCUGUUUCCUGUAUACUACCCCUUGAUUUCCAAUGCCUUCCACGUAUCUCCCAGCUUUCUCUCUCCAUAGCUCCAAAUUGAUAAAUACGACUCUGAAAGGCCCUAUUCAGCCGAUGGACAGUGUCAGAAGGCAGAUUCUUUGCAGACCUUCCUACUGUUUAAAUGUCUCUAUGAAAUUCUAGGCAGCUUAGUCCUGGAGCAAGUUGAGGUCUCUUAGUCCUGGAGAAACUUGGGGGAGGGACGGGAGAAAAGAAGAAGAAGAGGUAGGCAGCUAUAAGCUUCAUCAAAGGCCAGUCCCCUAAAAAAGUCAUGUCCCUGCCAAAAGUCAGUUCCCUAAAAAAGUCAUGAGAAUAAUUCUUUGACUUCAUCAGCUAGGUGUCAAAACCUCAGAGACUCCUGGAUCCUUUCAUCUUGUCUACUGCCAAGGUGAUCAAGUAGCAUCACUUAAUGAUAAUUCAUACCUUUUUCUCUCAGAUAAAGGCAAGAAACUGUGACAAACACCAAGACCCUAUGCUCUCAAUUUGGACUUAGAUCUGAGCAUUUUUUAUUAAAAGUGUGUUCUAAGAUAUAUUGGAGACUACAAUCCUGCAAAAAGAAAAAGGAUAUCAGAUUUUUUAUUUCCAAACUAGAUGGGAUCUUUGAAAUCCUUUAGUAUAUGGUUUCAAUCUUUUGGGGGUCCUGAACCAUAAACAUGUUACUUUGUAGUCCCCAAAAGCUUUAUGGAGUCUACAGAAUUCCCUGAGUCCCCCAAACAUCUCACAGAACAAGAAUUACAGACUUAGAAUCCCCCCUAUAGUAUAACCUCCCUAAGUUUUCUCAUUAGUAAAAUAAAGAUAAUAAUGGUACUUAUUUUACAGGAUCAUUACGCCAAUUGAAAGAGAUAACCUAAUACAAGUCCUUAAAAUGCACCUGGCACAUAGUUAAGUACUAAGUAAAUAUUAGAUAGGCUAGUACCUUGCAACUCUAAGUGUGGUCCUCAGACCAGCAGCCUUGGCACCUGUUGGAGCUUGUUCAAGUUGCAGAAUCACAGGCCCAACCCCAGGACUCCUGCAUCAGAGUCUGCGUGCUCACAAGUUCUCCAGGCAAUUCAUAUGCAUGCACAAGUUUAAGAAUAGCUGUUCUAGUAGUAAUAAUAAUUGUUUUCCUGGAAGAAUAUAAUAUUAUUCUUAGUAUUAUUAUUACUAUAGAAAAAUUUUUUAACCUCCUAAAUACAUAUUGCAGACAUUUUUUACUCUGCUGACAUAACUACCAUCCUGUCCUCUUGGAAAAACCCCAAUUUUGUCUAAGAAUCCACCUUUCGUGUGCUUUAAGAAAGAUAGCCCCACCUUUUGUUGCAGGAGUGAGUCACGUUUGUACAAAGCCUCACAUAACAGCCUCAUCUCCUUUGCAGUGACGAGUUGGCAAAAGACUGUGACUCAAUUCUGAAAAAUUGGAACUGUAAAGAAGCACAUUAAAAAGAUUCGAUAUCAAGUUAUCCUCAUUUUUACCAAGACACAUUUGGGAUAAAUCAGUUCCUCUUCUGCCACUGAAUAUUGUUUCAUAUGGUUUCAGCAUCUGCAGUAGCCAUCUAAGCGCCAAGACUGCAGAGAGCAUACUGAUAUUUUUGAGGCGAGAUUCAGAGAGCAAGUGGAAGCUUUAUGACACAGGUGAGCUGCUGAAUGAACCAUGUAAUGAAACAGUCUUUCCUCAUCUUAGACGUUGGAGUUACACUGUGUGGUGAGUGAUGUGUCCACUGCUUGACAUCCCUACAGGACUCAUUCCUCAACCACUCUGAGUAGUGAUAGCUGGCAGCAAUGAGGGGUGUCCCUCAUCUGAAGAGAGCCUCCUUGCCAAGAUUGUGCAACCUCAGUGCAACAACCAGCAGAUGCAGACAUAUCAAGGCCUGGCCCUGCUGCCCACUUUCAGCACCACUCCAAAGAGCUCUCCCAGAGCUAAAGCUUCUGUGGAAUUGGCUGAGGCCUUUUUGAGAAGGGACCACAAUUCCACUCUGUCAAAUCCUGCUUCCCUCGUGUUCUCCAAGGACUUCUCUAAUAAACUUCCUGCAUAUAAGCCUCCAAAUCCGAGUUUGCUCUGGAAAUACUGGUCUAUGUCUGUAUGCAACUCCUGAACUACACAGGGAAAAAGAUACCUGAGUCCGGGGCCAGCAGGUGAAUUCCUAAGCAAAUGUGUGGAGGAUCACAUUGGAGGAGAGGGCAAGUAAAUCCAAGCCCAUUAGAGGAUUCAGGUCCAGCAGAUAAUAAAGGACUAGACGCAAGGACUGCCUUUGAAGGAUAAGAUUUCAGUCCUGAGAGAAAGGGGCAAGCAAUAGCCUUAGGCAUAAAUGAUCUAGAUUCCUAAGUAAGCCCAGUGAUUCAAGUAUAGGAGAAUAAAGAAUGCAGGAAGCUAAUUGUUAGAAAUAAAAAAAGCAAGGCAGAAUAGAGUAAGCAAAGGGUCAAAGAAGCUGAGCCCUCAAUCUCUGUCUGGAUCUAGAGAUGCUUAAAUUCAUUCUCCUAAAGGGAUUCCAUGGGUUUUGGGCAGGACCUACAAGGGAGAGCGUAAUGACAAGAACUAUGGAUAUUUAGGGAAAAGGAGCUGAGCUCAUCACAAAACUUGAGGGUUGAAGAAUAAAUGACAGCAACUGGGUUUAAACCUCAACAGGACCUGACAUUUGUGAAGGCAGUUUGUCUCUAAGAUGUAAAUUUGUGUGGUUACUCUAUGUGCAUAACCCCCCACUCAAAUGAGAUCUCACCAAAUGGUUUUUCAUAACACUGCUCUUUCCUCUGUUUAGAUCUAAAGUUAUUGUUUUGCUGUUGGUGUGAAGUAUUCCUUUCCUGUAAUUCCUUUUCUAUGGUUCUUUGAUGUCCUGACACAACUUAACAAAUACUUAAUACUUUAUUAACUUAAUAAUACAAAAUAAAUAUAAAUAUCAAUGUGGUUAACAGAAUCUUAGGAAAUGGGAGUGAUGGCAUACUGCUCAAUUCACCUCCUAAAUGGACAUUCUAAACAAAUCAUGAUUUAAAAAUAAAGAGAAUUUUUCCCACAUGUUGCCCCUGUGACCACCAUUUUAAUUUGGAGAUGUGUGUAUUGGGAGGUCUCCUCCCAGAUUCUCUCUGUGAGCAGUUCUCUGCAUCUUGUGCCAUUCCUAUUGGCAUCUCGGUGCUUAGAAACUUCCCCAGUGGGAGGCCAGGC
rnacentral:lncRNA from 10 species